AAAAAUAAAAAUUGGCAUUAUGGGAGUUGUAGUGCGAAGGAAGGCAGGGAAUAGGGGAGGGGCUUAAUCAUUAAAUACAGUGGGAAAAAGUGCAGGAAACCAUUCUUACCUUCUAACGGGAUGGGAGAGUCGGUGUUCUUAUCUAGGAUGGUGCAGGUCCAUGGAGGCCAUAUAUUGGAGGGUCUUUGGGAGACCAUGUCAGGCCAGGACGGGGAGCAGAUCCGGAGGGACCAGGAAGGAGUAGACCACGGCACAGAGCCAGGCCCCCAGACUACCUUAGCCCUGAGGUGGAAGGCCAGAUGCGAUACAGAAGGAGUCCAUCCAGGGAUCAGGGACCAUUUGGGAGUAGAGAUGGUAGAGCGGGGACACAGAAAGCAGGCAGCAGGGGCACAGCCGGAGGUGCUCGGAGUUAAAUGGGGAGUCACAGAGCAAGUCGCGUUGCUUCAGGGGAGGCGGCAGCAGGCACCGGGGAUUGAACGUUGUUGAGGGGGAGGAGUCAGAUGGCCUGGGGCCCAGUAGAAUUAACGCCAUCGAUAGCCACUUCGUCCUUGGGCUAACUUCCUGCAGAUGACCCUGCCACUCAGACGUACAUUGUGUUCUUCUACAUCUAGAUUUUCAGCGGAAGCUUUUGAAUCAAUGAAUGAAUGGCAGGUUGGUUUCACACAGAGAUGACUGCUGUUUCAGGAAGGGAUGCUGCUUGUUCAAAUUGUACAGAGGAUGUCGUCGUAAGAGGAAGAAAGGUGUCUUGGUUCAGAUCUGCUAUAUUUAUAUCAUUGACACUGUUAUUUGAUCUUAAUUGUCUGUGAACUCUUGGACUGUUUUUUUACUUAUUUUGCUCUAAUCUCCAGCAAAUGUUCUCAGUGUUCUCUGUAGUGCUGUCAAAUGUUGUUGAUCUUUUAUCCUUCACUCUUUUGAGGUUUUAUAGUUUGCUUUCAGUUAGCAUACAACAUCGACAAACCAAAUAAAAUGAGCCAUCAGCAAUGACUAUCAA